UCGGCUACCACUUACAGAUGGACCCGCGGCGCAUUAGCUAGUUGGUGAGGUAACGGCUCACCAAGGCGACGAUGCGUAGCCGACCUGAGAGGGUGAUCGGCCACACUGGGACUGAGACACGGCCCAGACUCCUACGGGAGGCAGCAGUAGGGAAUCUUCCGCAAUGGAGGAAAGUCUGACGGAGCAACGCCGCGUGAGUGAUGAAGGUUUUCGGAUCGUAAAGCUCUGUUGUUAGGGAAGAACAAGUGCCGUUCAAAUAGGGCGGCACCUUGACGGUACCUAACCAGAAAGCCACGGCUAACUACGUGCCAGCAGCCGCGGUAAUACGUAGGUGGCAAGCGUUGUCCGGAAUUAUUGGGCGUAAAGGGCUCGCAGGCGGUUUCUUAAGUGUGAUGUGAAAGCCCCCGGCUCAACCGGGGAGGGUCAUUGGAAACUGGGGAACUUGAGUGCAGAAGAGGAGAGUGGAAUUCCACGUGUAGCGGUGAAAUGCGUAGAGAUGUGGAGGAACACCAGUGGCGAAGGCGACUCUCUGGUCUGUAACUGACGCUGAGGAGCGAAAGCGUGGGGAGCGAACAGGAUUAGAUACCCUGGUAGUCCGGCGCCGUAAACGAUGAGUGCUAAGUGUUAGGGGGUUUCCGCCCCUUAGUGCUGCAGCUAA
rnacentral:rRNA from 2 species